rnacentral:tRNA from 1 species
GCCCCCAUAGCUCAGUGGUAGAGCAGACGCUUACACAGAGAAAGGUCUUCAGUUCAAAUCCGAAAGGAGGCA